rnacentral:rRNA from 1 species
CCCUUAGAUGUUCUGGGCUGCACGCGCGCUACACUGAUGCGCUCAACGAGUUUUAACCUUGCCUGGAAAGGUUGGGUAAUCUUUUUAAAACGCAUCGUGAUGGGGAUAGAUUAUUGCAAUUAUUAAUCUUCAACGAGGAAUUCCUAGUAAGCGCGAGUCAUCAGCUCGUGCUGAUUACGUCCCUGCCCUUUGUACACACCGCCCGUCGCUCCUACCGAUUGGGUGAUCCGGUGAAUAAUUCGGACUGCGGCAUUGACCGGUUCCCGAUCGUUGCUGCGGAAAGUUUAGUGAACCUUAUCACUUAGAGGAAGGAGAAGUCGUAACA